GUUUUUGCUCUCAUUACAUC
rnacentral:miRNA from 1 species